rnacentral:misc_RNA from 1 species
GUGUGCCUCCUAAUUGGAGGCCAGAGUUGGAUGAAGAAAGAGGGGAAACUGAUCCGUUAACCACAUCAGAAUUUGGGGCUUCGCCAGCUGACUCAGGGAAUCCCAGAAUACGUUUUUGUAGGAAGUGCAACCAGUUAAAACCUCCUCGAUGCCAUCACUGUUCCGUUUGUGGAAGGUGUGUGCUGAAGAUGGACCAUCAUUGUGUGUGGGUUGUCAACUGUGUUGGAGCAUUAAACUACAAGUAUUUCCUUCUCUUCCUGUUCUAUACAUUCCUUGAGACCACUGUUGUCACUUUAUCAUUACUGCCACAAUUUAUUGCAUUCUUCAGUGAUGGAGAGAUACCUGGGACUCCUGGCACUCUUGCGACUACUUUCCUUGCUUUUGUCUUAAACCUUGCUUUUGCUUUGAGCGUUUUGGGAUUUCUGAUUAUGCACAUAUCAUUGGUGUCUGGUAACACCACG